rnacentral:rRNA from 1 species
AGAGUUUGAUCAUGGCUCAGAACGUACGCUGGCGGCACGCCUAACACAUGCAAGUCGAACGAAGUAGCAAUACUUAGCGGCAGACGGGUGAGUAACAUGUAGGUAUCUGCCCUUUGGCCUGGAAUAACACGAGGAAACUUGUGCUAAUACCGGAUAAGUCUUUACGGAGAAAGCUUUAUGCACCAUUGGAUGAGCCUGCACUUGAUUAGUUUGUUGGUGGGGUAAUGGCCUACCAAGACUUUGAUCAAUAGCUGAUUUGAGAGGAUGAUCAGCCACAUUGGGACUGAGACACGGCCCAAACUCCUACGGGAGGCAGCAGUGGGGAAUCUUGCACAAUGGAGGAAACUCUGAUGCAGCGAUGCCGCGUGAGUGAAGAAGGCCCUUGGGUUGUAAAGCUCUUUCGUCGGGGAAGAAAAUGACUGUACCCGAAUAAGAAGGUCCGGCUAACUUCGUGCCAGCAGCCGCGGUAAUACGAAGGGACCUAGCGUAGUUCGGAAUUACUGGGCUUAAAGAGUUCGUAGGUGGUUGAAAAAGUUGGUGGUGAAAUCCCAGAGCUUAACUCUGGAACUGCCAUCAAAACUUUUCAGCUAGAGUUUGAUAGAGGAAAGCAGAAUUUCUAGUGUAGAGGUGAAAUUCGUAGAUAUUAGAAAGAAUACCAAUUGCGAAGGCAGCUUUCUGGAUCAUUACUGACACUGAGGAACGAAAGCAUGGGUAGCGAAGAGGAUUAGAUACCCUCGUAGUCCAUGCCGUAAACGAUGUGUGUUAGACGUUGGAAAUUUAUUUUCAGUGUCGCAGCGAAAGCGAUAAACACACCGCCUGGGGAGUACGACCGCAAGGUUAAAACUCAAAUGAAUUGACGGGGACCCGCACAAGUAGUGGAGCAUGUGGUUUAAUUCGAAGAUACGCGCAGAACCUUACCAACACUUGACAUGUUCGUCGCGACUUUAAGAGAUUAAAGUUUUCGGUUCGGCCGGACGAAACACAGGUGCUGCAUGGCUGUCGUCAGCUCGUGUCGUGAGAUGUUGGGUUAAGUCCCGCAACGAGCGCAACCCUCACUUUUAGUUGCCAUCAUUAAGUUGGGCACUCUGAAAGAACUGCCAGUGAUAAGCUGGAGGAAGGUGGGGAUGACGUCAAGUCCUCAUGGCCCUUACGUGUUGGGCUACACACGUGCUACAAUGGUAUCUACAACAGGAAGCAAAACGGCGACGUUAAGCAAAUCCUUAAAAGAUACCUCAGUUCGGAUUGCACUCUGCAACUCGAGUGCAUGAAGCUGGAAUUACUAGUAAUCGUGGAUCAGCGUGCCACGGUGAAUGCGUUCCCGGGUCUUGUACACACCGCCCGUCACACCAUGGGAGUUGGUUCUACCUUAAGGCAAGGUUUUAAACCCUUGACCACGGUAUAGUCAGCGACUGGGGUGAAGUCGUAACAAGGUA